CCCUGGUUAGCUCAGUUGGUAGAGCGCUCCACCUGUAAUGGAGAGGUCUCGGGAUCGAUACCCGCACCAGGAG
rfam:Ixodes scapularis strain Wikel colony gcontig_1107728856900, whole genome shotgun sequence.